rnacentral:rRNA from 1 species
GACGAACGCUGGCGGCGUGCUUAACACAUGCAAGUCGAACGGAAAGGCCCUGCUUUUGUGGGGUGCUCGAGUGGCGAACGGGUGAGUAACACGUGAGUAACAUGCACUUGACUUUGGGAUAAAAUCAGGAAACUGGGGCUAAUAUCGGAUAGGAGCUCCUGCUGCACGGUGGGGGUUGGAAAGUUUCGGCGGUUGGGGCUGGACUAGCGGCGUAUGAGCUAGUUGGUGGGGUAGUGGCUUACCCAGGCUUUGACGGGUAGCCGGCCUGAGAGGGUGAUCGGCCACACUGGAGCUGAGACACGGUCAAGAGUCCUACGGGAGGCCGCAGUAGGGAAUGUGCGGCAAUGGGGGAAAGCCUGACGGAGCGGCGCCGCGUGAGUGAUGAAGGCCUCCGGAUCGUAAAACCCUGUUACGAGGGAAGAACAAAUGUGUAAGUAACUAUGCACGUCUUGACGGUACCUAAUAAGAAAGCCCCGGCUAACUACGUG